AAAAAGAAAUAAACAAGCACAGGAUGAAAAUUGCGACCACUCUCCUUCUCAGCACAGAUGACCUGAGCAACCUCUGUCACUUUUGUGGCGAGAAAAACACGGACACUGAAGACAUCUGGAUUCAGUGUGACGACUGCUUCAGAUGGUACCACCUUCAAUGUGUUGGAAACCCAGAUCCCCAAGAGGAUUACGUGUGCUUUGCAUGUCAAUAGUUUUGUUAAGUUGUUUCUAUUAUGAUGUUUUUAUCUUGUAAUAAAUUUUUUUUUUUUUAUUGAGAAGUUAUAAGCAAAACUUUGAAUUACAAUUUUUUGCUACUAUUUGUUAUUGUUGGGAUCCGGAGGCUUGCCCACCAGAUGCCAUCGAGGAUCCCUUCCUGAGGGCUUGUGCUGCCUGUUGGGAUCCGGAGGCUUGCCCACCAGAGGGCGCCAAGGAUUCCUUCCUGAGGGCUUGUGCUCACCUGCCUCACCUGUCUUUCAUCUCCUCAUCAGACCACUCCAGCGCCAAAGUGUUUGCCAGUAACGAUAGAUCCUGCCUGACUACCAGUAACCCUGGAGAGUUAUCUCUGCUGGUUAUCUGCCUGCCUGCUCUCUGUCGAACUCUGGGGAGCUUCCUCUGUGAGUAUCUGCCUGCCCGCCCUCAGAAGAUUACUUGGAGAGAGACUCAGUCUGUGAUCUGCCUGCAAGCUCUCAGUAAGCUC